rnacentral:lncRNA from 1 species
CUGAAAUACUUUACAACUCAGCUCUGGGAAUGACUGCACGUUCACAUAAGAUAUUUGCCAACAAGAAUAUUUAUACAGUAAGAAAAAUACCAUAACAUUUGUCCUAAUUUACAGAUAUUAUAACAUCAUAGAAACAACGCUGUUGGCUUUGUUUAGGCAAUGCUAGUUACAGAGGUUGGGAAACGAAGAGCAGUGUGUAACUGAGCCCUUAUGAAAGGUAUUCAUCAAGGAGACGUUUUUGUUUGCACCUGUCCCCCACACUAUCUCUUUUUUUUCCUCUCUCGGCUUCUGCUUCUACUCCGUCUGCUCCUUUCUCUGUAUUCCACGUUACUGCACCUGUCGCCAUUGCCCUCUCUGUAUUUUUUCUCCUUUCUGUGCCCAUCUGUGCUGGGGCUCCUGGUUUCAUUUUUCCUGUGACGCUCUUCACCAGGGCUUUGACUUGGGCUUUUUCUUGUUUGCCUUUGCCUGCGACUGCUGUGACUUGUGCAAGGGCUUCUCCCUCUCCUCUCAUCCGCGCUCUGGCUUCUGCUAUCCCUCUCCUUUCUUUCAGUCUCUCUCUGGUAUCUGCUUUUGGACUUUCUUUCCCCCUCACAGGAGCUCCGUUUGCUGUUCUCCGCAGAACUAUCUUGCUUUAAAAGUCUAUACUUCUCCCUAUCUUUGUCCUUGUUACCGUGACUACUGGAGAGAUCUUCAUAAAGUUUUUCCUUCCUAGUCUUUGCCUUCCCUUCUGAAUCGCUGCUGCUAGCCUCUGAAAACUUGCCUUUUUUUCUUUUCUUAGAAUACAUCUUCUUUUGUGCCGCUUUAUCUCUGCUGUCAGUCUCACUGUCGCUGCUGCUUCCUGAAGUCUCACUGGAGGAUGAGGAAGAGGAGCUCAUCUUAUGUUUCUUGUGUUUACUUUUGCCUUUUUUCUUUUGCUGCUUUUUCUUCUUUCUGUCUUUCUUUUUCUUUUUCUUCUCCAGACGAUCCAAUUUCCUUAAAAGUUUCUGUUUCUGUUUGGUUGACAGUGAUUUUAAAAAUUCAACUUCUGGAUCAUCAUCUCCUUCGCUUGCAACAAAUUCCUGUGAUGGAUCAUUUGCGGUCAAGUUUCUCCCCAGUACAUUUUGUUUCAGUGCAAACCCACUGUUUCUCAUCUCCG